UACGUAGGGACCAAGCGUUGUUCGGAUUUACUGGGCGUAAGGGGCGCGUAGGCGGCUUGACAAGUCACUUGUGAAAUCUCCGGGCUUAACUCGGAACGGCCAAGUGAAACUGUCAUGCUAGAGUGCAGAAGGGGCAAUCGGAAUUCUUGGUGUAGCGGUGAAAUGCGUAGAUAUCAAGAGGAACACCUGAGGUGAAGACGGGUUGCUGGGCUGACACUGACGCUGAGGCGCGAAAGCCAGGGGAGCAAACGGG
rnacentral:rRNA from 1 species